rnacentral:rRNA from 1 species
UGGGGAAUAUUGCACAAUGGAGGGAACUCUGAUGCAGCGACGCCGCGUGAGUGAUGAAGGAAUUCGUUUCGUAAAACUCUGUUCUAUGGGAAGAAAAGGACUGUACCAUAGGAGAAAGCUCCGGCUAAAUACGUGCCAGCAGCCGCGGUAAUACGUAUGGAGCGAGCGUUGUCCGGAAUUAUUGGGCGUAAAGGGUGCGCAGGCGGCUUUACAAGUUGGAUGUGAAAUAUUGUGGCUCAACCACAAACGUGCAUCCAAAACUGCAAAGCUUGAGUUAAGGAGAGGUAAGUGGAAUUCCUGGUGUAGCGGUGGAAUGCGUAGAUAUCAGGAGGAAUACCGGUGGCGAAGGCGACUUACUGGACUUAAACUGACGCUAAGACACGAAAGCGUGGGGAGCAAACAGG